rnacentral:rRNA from 1 species
UACGUAGGUGGCAAGCGUUAUCCGGAAUUACUGGGCGUAAAGCGCACGCGGGCGGUCUUGUAAGUUUGGCGUGAAAGCUCUCGGCUUAACUGGGAGAGGUCGCUGAAGACUGCAAGACUUGAGGCAAUGAGAGGGGUGUAGAAGUUCCUGGUGUAGUGGUGGAAUGCGUAGAUAUCAGGAGGAAUACCAGUGGCGAAAGCGGCACCCUAGCGUUGUACUGACGCUCAUGUGCGAAAGCGUGGGGAGCGAACGGG